rnacentral:tRNA from 1 species
GCAGUCGUGGCCGAGUGGUUAAUAAGGCGAUGAACUAGAAAUCCAUUGGGGUCUCCCCGCAAAGCUUCGAAUCCUGUCGACUGCG